GAUGAACGCUGGCGGCAUGCCUAAGACAUGCAAGUCGAACGAGGUGGCCCAAAGAAGAUUGAGUGCUUGCACGAGAUUGGACUUGGAUUACCACCUAGUGGCGGACGGGUGAGUAACACGUAGGUGACCUGCCUUUGAGUUUGGGAUAACUAUUAGAAAUGAUAGCUAAUACCGGAUUAAAUGCAGAUUCGUUUCUGUAUUAAAAGGAGCCUUUAAAGCUUCGCUUAAAGAUGGGCCUGCGGCGUAUUAGCUAGUUGGUGAGGUAAUCGGCUUACCAAGGCGACGAUGCGUAGCCGAACUGAGAGUUGAUCGGCACAUUGGGACUGAGACACGG
rnacentral:rRNA from 1 species